UAUCAACACCAUUGUUCACCAAAUAACUCUUCUCGAUGUCAAUAUUAUUCACAUCAGCAGCAACUAUCGUACUUCCACUGCCACUGGCAUCCAAAUUCUCUGCUUUAAUGUCAUAAACUCUUUUCACUAAUUCCACAUUACCUUUCCCAUUAUCUUCUAUAGGAACCUCCAAAUUCGAUUCUAACACAAUACAGUUCUUACUUAAGCCAAAUA
rnacentral:misc_RNA from 1 species